rnacentral:lncRNA from 1 species
GUGUAAUAAUUGUUUGGCUUUUAUUGUACUGUUUUCAUUUUUAAUAAAAAUAAAAAAAUUACCGACCAUCUCUAGAGCAAGUGGCAAAAAGCUUGAUGGUUGGUAUUCGAAACCCAAGUUCGAAUCCUAGUUGAUUCACAUUUCCAGCUAAGUUUAUUUCUAAAUGAAAUAAACGAAGCGAAUAGAGUGCUACCUAUCUCUAAAAAAAAAAUUAAAAAAAAAUGAAAAAAUUCUCACUUCGCCAAAAUAUUUGUUUUCUUUAUACUCUGUAUACUCUGUUUUUAC